AAAUCUAAAUUCCCUAUCAUUCUUCAAAUUAGACAAACUCUCUUCCGUUGCAAGACUCAGGGUAUAGAGGUGGCUAUUGCCUGGAUACCUGGCCACAGUGGCAUCAUUGGUAAUGAGUGUGCAGAUUCCUUCGCUAAGGAUGCCAUUAGCUUGGGCCUGGAUACUCAUUACCAUAAUUUUGCCCACGACCUUGCCUCGCUCGCAGGACCGAGGCUUGAUAAUUCCUGGAAGGAGUACUGGGAAGCUUCCAGGAAUAUUAAAGGUAUUAACCUUGUAAAUAUCUUUAAAUCUCCACCGUAAAGACAGCAAUUUACAUAGUGUGUACCUUAACACAAUCGUUUUUUGGCCGAAUUUGCUGUGUUAGUCACACACGGCAUACAGCCACAAACAAAGAUUGAUUGAUUGAUUGA